rnacentral:rRNA from 1 species
AAUCAAGUGCCUUAAGGGUGUUCGGUGGAUGCCUUGGCGCUGAGAGGCGAUGAAGGACGUGCUACGCUGCGAUAAGCCGUGGGGAGCUGCGAAGAAGCUUUGAUCCACGGAUUUCCGAAUGGGGAAACCCACCUUCGAUAGCUGGAACUCCAAGGCCUUGUGUCUUGGGGUUCAUACAGCAAUGUGUGAGACCGAGGCCGCAAGGUUUUGGAUUUCCAGUUAUCAAGUGAAGGUAUGAAACUCCUGAAUACAUAGGGGGUUUUAAGCGAACCCGGGGAACUGAAACAUCUAAGUACCCGGAGGAAAGGACAUCAACAGAGACUCCGUUAGUAGUGGCGAGCGAACGCGGACCAGGCCAGUGGUACAUCAAAGACAACCGGAACCUGUCAGGAAAGCAGGGCCUUAGAGGGUGAUAGCCCCGUACGGGUAAUGCAAUGAUGUAUCCUUGAGUAAGGCGGAACACGUGAAAUUCUGUCUGAACGUGGGGGGACCACCCUCCAAGCCUAAGUACUCCUCAGCGACCGAUAGUGAACCAGUACCGUGAGGGAAAGGUGAAAAGCACCCCGACGAGGGGAGUGAAAUAGACCUGAAACCGGACACCUACAAACAGAUGGAGCCCAAGAUACGUUCUGGGUGACAUCGUACCUUUUGUAUUAUGGGCCAGCGACUUAAUUUAACGAGCAAGCUUAAGCCGAUAGGUGUAUGCGCAGCGAAAGCGAGUCUGAAUAGGGCGCCAAGUUCGUUGUAUUAGACCCGAAACCUAGUGAUCUAGCCAUGAGCAGGUUGAAGGUGAGGUAACACUCACUGGAGGACCGAACGGGUGUCUGUUGAAAAAGACUCCGAUGACUUGUGGUUAGGGGUGAAAGGCCAAUCAAACUGGGAAAUAGCUGGUUCUCCGCGAAAGAUAUUUAGGUAUCGCCUCGCGUGAAUACUUCGGGGGGUAGAGCACUGGAUGGGCUAGGGGGACUUACCGUCUUACCAAACCCAACCAAACUCCGAAUACCCGAAAGUAAUGCGCGGGAGUCACACGGCGGGUGCUAACGUCCGUCGUGGAGAGGGAAACAACCCGGACCUACAGCUAAGGCCCCUAAUUCGUGGCUAAGUGGGAAAGGAUGUGGGAAUCCCAAAACAACCAGGAGGUUGGCUUAGAAGCAGCCAUCCUUUAAAGAAAGCGUAACAGCUCACUGGUCUAAAUAAGGGUUCCUGCGCCGAAGAUGUAACGGGGCUCAAGCCACGAGCCGAAGCUUAGGGUGUGCCAUUUAUUUGGUACGCGGUAGCGGAGCGUUCUGUAAGCCUGCGAAGGGCGACCCGUGAGGGCGCCUGGAGGUAUCAGAAGUGCGAAUGCUGGCAUGAGUAACGACAAACACUGUGAAAGACAGUGUCGCCGAAAGUCCAAGGGUUCCUGCGUAAAGUUAAUCUUCGCAGGGUUAGCCGGUCCCUAAGGCGAGGCAGAAAUGCGUAGUCGAUGGGAAUGCAGUGAAUAUUCUGCAGCCAGUGGAAUGGUGACGAAUCUCGUAUGUUGUCUGACCUUAUUGGAUUGGUCGGGCCUCGAAGAGGUUCCAGGAAAUAGCCUCCACAUUAGACCGUACCCGAAACCGACACAGGUGGACUGGUAGAGUAUACCAAGGCGCUUGAGAGAACUAUGUUGAAGGAACUCGGCAAUUUACCUCCGUAACUUCGGGAUAAGGGGGCCCAUUGCGCGCGCAAGCGCGUCGUGGGGGCACAGACCAGGGGGUGGCAACUGUUUAACAAAAACACAGGGCUCUGCGAAAUCGCAAGAUGACGUAUAGGGUCUGACGCCUGCCCGGUGCCGGAAGGUUAAGAGGAGGAGUGCAAGCUCUGAAUUGAAGCCCCGGUA